rnacentral:rRNA from 1 species
AGUGAACGCUGGCGGUAGGCCUAACACAUGCAAGUCGAACGGCAGCACAGGAGAGCUUGCUCUCUGGGUGGCGAGUGGCGGACGGGUGAGGAAUACAUCGGAAUCUACUUUUUCGUGGGGGAUAACGUAGGGAAACUUACGCUAAUACCGCAUACGGCCUACGGGUGAAAGCAGGGGAUCUUCGGACCUUGCGCGAUUGAAUGAGCCGAUGUCGGAUUAGCUAGUUGGCGGGGUAAAGGCCCACCAAGGCGACGAUCCGUAGCUGGUCUGAGAGGAUGAUCAGCCACACUGGAACUGAGACACGGUCCAGACUCCUACGGGAGGCAGCAGUGGGGAAUAUUGGACAAUGGGCGCAAGCCUGAUCCAGCCAUACCGCGUGGGUGAAGAAGGCCUUCGGGUUGUAAGGCCCUUUUGUUGGGAAAGAAAUCCAGCUGGUUAAUACCCGGUUGGGAUGACGGUACCCAAAGAAUAAGCACCGGCUAACUUCGUGCCAGCCGCCGCAGUAA